UCUGAAGUACCUCAAAUCUGGACUUUUAGUUGCUUUUGAAUUUGGCUUCUUUGUCUUUGACUCAAUUCCAUUGGCUAUGCCAGAAAAUUUGGACUGAUUGAAUUGCCACAGCAAAUCAGGUUCUGAUGAAUCACUAGUGCCGGCAUCAAGAUCAUCCAUAUCAUCAGUACUACUAAUGUUGAACCGGUUGUUACCCCCAUAAAUAUUGUAGGAUUGUUCAGAGUAAAUUUUUGUAGGAUCUGAAAGAUACUUCUGGUAAAAGACAUCAGGCAAAUUACCAUUGUCUGCUUCCCAACUUCCUAAUGGAUUCUCAACUCUGUUUAUAGCAUCUUGCUUGUUCACCAUGACUUUAUCGACCCAUUCACCUGAUCCCACUUCCUUCUCAUCUUCCCUAUAAUUUUUGCUAGGACUAACAACUGGAGGCCAUGGAGGUGAAUUUGCUAACAGCUCAUCGAGAUCAAAACUUUGCCUUUUUUGCCUCAAUGUAGCGUUUGUAUGAACCUGUAUAUGCAGCACAUCAGUGUUUAAAAAAACCUAAGUACUUACUGACUAGGAAGGUUUUUCCCCAUCCAUGCCAACUCUCAACAAUCUUUUUCUCAUAAUAUAGUUUUAUUAUCUAUACAUAGCAUUAUCUAUAAUGUGAAGUACAAAAUGCUAAUAUUUUGCUCAAUUCACACCCAUGAUGCCUAGACAUCUACAAUGUGAAAUACAAAAGUACCAUAAUAUGAAGUAACCCUCAAAUAUUUCGAUACGAUUGAUAGAUAUGCAAAAUGAAAUGAGGUGAAGUCUGCCUCAACCAGAUUGAAGAUGGUCAUAAUUUCAGUUAGCUACUUUGAAUGCGAUGUUUUUCUACAAUAGUGUAACUUUCAUAUUGCAAAAAUACAUGAUUAUGUACUUAUAAUUAUACAAGUGUCAAUCAGCAAUCUUUAAGAAAAAUUAUGACUAAUGAUGAUAGGAUAGCAAGAUUCACCUCUAUGUUACCUACAUCACCCAUAGGUUGCCGGAAGCCAUUGCCAUCAUUCACAUCCCCAAUCCGCAGGCUAGAAUUCAACGGUGAUGACUCAUUUUCUUUUCUUCUAUACCUUUCGGGGUUGCCAGAUGCAGAAUGUUGAAAGUGUUCUGGUUCUGCCUCUUUCCUUGCUAAUGCUGCCUUAAGGCUAGCAAUCUAGGAAGGGGGAAAGGAAUCAAAUGUUUAAUACAGUGUACCCUGAAGUUAAAGUAUGAUUAAGACAGCUAUGAUGGAAAAUGUAAAGGAGACAAAGGAAAUGACUAACUUCUUCUUUGAGCUCUUUGAUAUCUGCUGCACUAUCUUUGUUCACUCGAGCUGCUCCUAGUUCAACAGUGGCUACACGUUGUGCAAAAUUAAGUGUACUUAUUGUUUCUCCAAUUGCUUCAGGCUCCGGGCUUAUGUGGACAAACAUUAAUGUCUUUGCCUGUCCUCCUGAAACAAGAAUCACAAAUCACAAUCAUAAUCAUUUUUAUUGGAAAAAAAGGGGAAAACAAAACAAAUACUGAAAUUUGAACAAUGUGUUACUUUGACCUUACCAAGUGAGUCUUGGAGCAGUUGUGUAACUAAAAAUUCCUACUUUCUAUUUGCAGUUCUGCGUUUCAUAUCAACAGGGGCUGGCUGCCUUCCAUUCCGGUGCAAAGGAGCAUUAACUCCAUUUUUUCGUGAUGGCGAAGGGCCUAGCAUAGGAUUCAAGUUCUUGCUGCAAAACAAAUGUUAACAACUCUGUUAAACAUUAGAAUUUAACAUGUAAGUGUAGACCAAAACAAAGAGCACAUCUGAAGUACCUCAAAUCUGGACUUUUAGUUGCUUUUGAAUUUGGCUUCUUUGUCUUUGACUCAAUUCCAUUGGCUAUGCCAGAAAAUUUGGACUGAUUGAAUUGCCACAGCAAAUCAGGUUCUGAUGAAUCACUAGUGCCGGCAUCAAGAUCAUCCAUAUCAUCAGUACUACUAAUGUUGAACCGGUUGUUACCCCCAUAAAUAUUGUAGGAUUGUUCAGAGUAAAUUUUUGUAGGAUCUGAAAGAUACUUCUGGUAAAAGACAUCAGGCAAAUUACCAUUGUCUGCUUCCCAACUUCCUAAUGGAUUCUCAACUCUGUUUAUAGCAUCUUGCUUGUUCACCAUGACUUUAUCGACCCAUUCACCUGAUCCCACUUCCUUCUCAUCUUCCCUAUAAUUUUUGCUAGGACUAACAACUGGAGGCCAUGGAGGUGAAUUUGCUAACAGCUCAUCGAGAUCAAAACUUUGCCUUUUUUGCCUCAAUGUAGCGUUUGUAUGAACCUGUAUAUGCAGCACAUCAGUGUUUAAAAAAACCUAAGUACUUACUGACUAGGAAGGUUUUUCCCCAUCCAUGCCAACUCUCAACAAUCUUUUUCUCAUAAUAUAGUUUUAUUAUCUAUACAUAGCAUUAUCUAUAAUGUGAAGUACAAAAUGCUAAUAUUUUGCUCAAUUCACACCCAUGAUGCCUAGACAUCUACAAUGUGAAAUACAAAAGUACCAUAAUAUGAAGUAACCCUCAAAUAUUUCGAUACGAUUGAUAGAUAUGCAAAAUGAAAUGAGGUGAAGUCUGCCUCAACCAGAUUGAAGAUGGUCAUAAUUUCAGUUAGCUACUUUGAAUGCGAUGUUUUUCUACAAUAGUGUAACUUUCAUAUUGCAAAAAUACAUGAUUAUGUACUUAUAAUUAUACAAGUGUCAAUCAGCAAUCUUUAAGAAAAAUUAUGAC
rnacentral:lncRNA from 1 species